AUUGAACGCUGGCGGCAGGCCUAACACAUGCAAGUCGGGCGGUAACAGGGAGAAGCUUGCUUCUCCGCUGACGAGCGGCGGACGGGUGAGUAAUGUAUGGGGAUCUGCCUGAUGGCGGGGGAUAACUACUGGAAACGGUAGCUAAUACCGCAUAAUGUCUUCGGACCAAAGCGGGGGACCUCCGGGCCUCGCGCCAUCAGAUGAACCCAUAUGGGAUUAGCUUGUAGGUGAGGUAAUGGCUCACCUAGGCGACGAUCCCUAGCUGGUCUGAGAGGAUGAUCAGCCUCACUGGGACUGAGACACGGCCCAGACUCCUACGGGAGGCAGCAGUGGGGAAUAUUGCACAAUGGGCGCAAGCCUGAUGCAGCCAUGCCGCGUGUAUGAAGAAGGCCUUCGGGUUGUAAAGUACUUUCAGUCGGGAGGAAGGUGGUGAGCUUAAUACGCUCAUCAAUUGACGUUACCGACAGAAGAAGCACCGGCUAACUCCGUGCCAGCCGCCGCCGUAACAC
rnacentral:rRNA from 1 species